UUAGAUUUUCCAGCUCGCUCCGUCAGUGGUGAAGGAGUUGGCUAAGGCUAACGUUAGCGAUACUAACCCGACGUCACAACCAAACGUUAGUGAUUGGUUAUGGCAGAUCCAGAGUGGCUCUGGGCAGAUUCAAUAGUUGUAGACUCCAACAGAGUACCCGCCUUAAAGGACGUUGACAUUUGUCAAUGGAGAGCGGCCAGACUCUGUGUUCAAAUAAAAUGUAC